GCAAGUCGAGCGGUAACAGGGGAGCUUGCUCCUGCUGACGAGCGGCGGACGGGUGAGUAACGCGUAGGAAUCUGCCUAGUAGAGGGGGACAACAUGUGGAAACGCAUGCUAAUACCGCAUACGCCCUAAGGGGGAAAGGAGGGGACUCUUCGGACCUUUCGCUAUUAGAUGAGCCUGCGUGAGAUUAGCUUGUUGGUGAGGUAAAGGCUCACCAAGGCGACGAUCUCUAGCUGGUCUGAGAGGAUGACC
rnacentral:rRNA from 1 species